GAUGGACGCUGGCGGCGUGCCUAAUACAUGCAAGUCGAGCGAACGGACGAGAAGCUUGCUUCUCUGAUGUUAGCGGCGGACGGGUGAGUAACACGUGGAUAACCUACCUAUAAGACUGGGAUAACUUCGGGAAACCGGAGCUAAUACCGGAUAAUAUUUUGAACCGCAUGGUUCAAAAGUGAAAGACGGUCUUGCUGUCACUUAUAGAUGGAUCCGCGCUGCAUUAGCUAGUUGGUAAGGUAACGGCUUACCAAGGCAACGAUGCAUAGCCGACCUGAGAGGGUGAUCGGCCACACUGGAACUGAGACACGGUCCAGACUCCUACGGGAGGCAGCAGUAGGGAAUCAUCCGCAAAGGGCGAAAGCCUGACGGAGCAACGCCGCGUGAGUGAUGAAGGUCUUCGGAUCGUAAAACUCUGUUAUUAGGGAAGAACAUAUGUGUAAGUAACUGUGCACAUCUUGACGGUACCUAAUCAGAAAGCCACGGCUAACUACGUG
rnacentral:rRNA from 1 species